UACGUAGGUGGCAAGCGUUGUCCGGAUUUACUGGGCGUAAAGAGCGCGCAGGCGGUCGUUCAAGUCGCGUGUGAAAGCCCCCGGCUCAACUGGGGAGGGUCACGCGAUACUGAUCGACUCGAAGGCAGGAGAGGGAAGUGGAAUUCCCGGUGUAGUGGUGAAAUGCGUAGAUAUCGGGAGGAACACCAGUGGCGAAGGCGACUUUCUGGUCUGUAACUGACACUGAGGCGCGAAAGCGUGGGGAGCGAACAGG
rnacentral:rRNA from 1 species